rnacentral:rRNA from 1 species
CCUACGGGUGGCAGCAGUGAGGAAUAUUGGUCAAUGGACGAGAGUCUGAACCAGCCAAGUAGCGUGAAGGAUGACUGCCCUAUGGGUUGUAAACUUCUUUUAUAUGGGAAUAAAAUGUUCCACGUGUGGGAUUUUGUAUGUACCAUAUGAAUAAGGAUCGGCUAACUCCGUGCCAGCAGCCGCGGUAAUACGGAGGAUCCGAGCGUUAUCCGGAUUUAUUGGGUUUAAAGGGAGCGUAGGUGGAUUGUUAAGUCAGUUGUGAAAGUUUGCGGCUCAACCGUAAAAUUGCAGUUGAGACUGGCAGUCUUGAGUACAGUAGAGGUGGGCGGAAUUCGUGGUGUAGCGGUGAAAUGCUUAGAUAUCAGGAAGAACUCCGAUUGCGAAGGCAGUUCACUGGACUGAAACUGACACUGAGGCUCGAAAGUGUGGGUAUCAAACAGGAUUAGAUACCCCUGUAGUC